rnacentral:rRNA from 1 species
AUUGAACGCUGGCGGCAGGCCUAACACAUGCAAGUCGAGCGAGCGGCGGACGGGUGAGUAAUGUCUGGGAAACUGCCUGAUGGAGGGGGAUAACUACUGGAAACGGUAGCUAAUACCGCAUACCAUCAGAUGUGCCCAGAUGGGAUUAGAUAGUUGGUGGGGUAACGGCUCACCCAGGCGACGCUCCGUAGCUGGUUUGAGAGGACGACCCGCCACACUGGGAAUGAGAAACGGCCCCGACUCCUACGGGAGGCAGCAGUGGGGAAUUUUGGAACAUGGGGGAAACCCUGAUCCAGCCAUCCCGCGUGUGCGAUGAAGGCCUUCGGGUUGUAAAGCACUUUUGGCAGGAAAGCGUUACCCGCAGAAGAAGCACCGGCUAACUCCGUGCCAGCCGCCGCGGUAAUAC